CGACGGAACAGAAUGAACCUAGUGAUUUCUGUUUUAGUGGCGGACGGGUGAGUAACGCGUGGGUAACCUGCCUUGCACUGGGGGAUAACACUUAGAAAUAGGUGCUAAUACCGCAUAAGCGCACAAUACCGCAUGGUAAAGUGUGAAAAACUCCGGUGGUGCAAGAUGGACCCGCGUCUGAUUAGCCAGUUGGCGGGGUAACGGCCCACCAAAGCGACGAUCAGUAGCCGGCCUGAGAGGGUGAACGGCCACAUUGGGACUGAGACACGGCCCAAACUCCUACGGGAGGCAGCAGUGGGGAAUAUUGCACAAUGGGGGAAACCCUGAUGCAGCAACGCCGCGUGAGUGAAGAAGUCAUUCGUGAUGUAAAGCUCUAUCAGCAGGGAAGAAAAUGACGGUACCUGACUAAGAAGCCCCGGCUAACUACGUGCCAGCAGCCGCGGUAAUACGUAGGGGGCAAGCGUUAUCCGGAUUUACUGGGUGUAAAGGGAGCGUAGACGGCGAGACAAGUCUGAAGUGAAAUGCCAGUGCUCAACACUGGAACUGCUUUGGAAACUGCCUGGCUGGAGUGCGGGAGAGGUAAGUGGAAUUCCUAGUGUAGCGGUGAAAUGCGUAGAUAUUAGGAGGAACACCAGUGGCGAAGGCGGCUUACUGGACCGUAACUGACGUUGAGGCUCGAAGGCGUGGGGAGCAAACAGGAUUAGAUACCCUGGUAGUCCACGCGGUAAACGAUGAUUACU
rnacentral:rRNA from 1 species